GGAAGGUGCAAGCGUUAAUCGGAAUUACUGGGGCGUAAAGCGCGCGUAGGCGGCUAGAUAAGUCGGGUGUGAAAGCCCUGGGGCUCAACCUGGGAACUGCAUUCGAUACUGUCUAGCUAGAGUGUGGUAGAGGGAGGCGGAAUUCCGCAUGUAGCGGUGAAAUGCGUAGAGAUGCGGAGGAACACCAAUGGCGAAGGCAGCCUUCUGGACCAACACUGACGCUGAGGCGCGAAAGCGUGGGGAGCAAACAGGAUUAGAUACCCUGGUAGUCCACGCCGUAAACGAUGUCAACUAGCCGUUGGGAGCAAUUUGGUUCUUGGUGGCGCAGCUAACGCGAUAAGUUGACCGCCUGGGGAGUACGGUCGCAAGAUUA
rnacentral:rRNA from 1 species